GACGGACGCUGGCGGCGUGCCUAAUACAUGCAAGUAGAACGCUGAAGGAGGAGCUUGCUUCUCUGGAUGAGUUGCGAACGGGUGAGUAACGCGUAGGUAACCUGCCUGGUAGCGGGGGAUAACUAUUGGAAACGAUAGCUAAUACCGCAUAAGAGUAGAUGUUGCAUGACAUUUACUUAAAAGGUGCAAUUGCAUCACUACCAGAUGGACCUGCGUUGUAUUAGCUAGUUGGUGAGGUAACGGCUCACCAAGGCAACGAUACAUAGCCGACCUGAGAGGGUGAUCGGCCACACUGGGACUGAGACACGGCCCAGACUCCUACGGGAGGCAGCAGUAGGGAAUCUUCGGCAAUGGACGGAAGUCUGACCGAGCAACGCCGCGUGAGUGAAGAAGGUUUUCGGAUCGUAAAGCUCUGUUGUAAGAGAAGAACGAGUGUGAGAGUGGAAAGUUCACACUGUGACGGUAGCUUACCAGAAAGAGACGGCUAACUACGUG
rnacentral:rRNA from 1 species